GACGAACGCUGGCGGCGUGCUUAACACAUGCAAGUCGAACGGAAAGGCCCUGCUCUUGUUGGGUUCUCGAGUGGCGAACGGGUGAGUAACACGUGAGUAACCUGCCCUUGUCUUUCGGAUAACUUCAGGAAACUGGGGCGAAUACCGGAUAUGAGCUCCUGCUGCAUGGUGGGGGUUGGUAAGUUUCGGCGGUUGGGAGUGGACUCGCGGCGUAUCAGCCUGUUGGUGGGGUGGUGGCUUACCCAGGCUUUGACGGGUAGCGGGCCUGAGAGGGUGAGCGGCGACAUAGAGACUGAGGGACGGCAGAGGCUGCGACGGGAGGGAGCUGUGGGAAAGAUUGACGGAGGGGCGGAGGGCGGAUGCAGAAACGCCGCGUGCGGGAUAACGGUGUUAUGGGGGAAAACCGAAUGCGCCUGUAACGAUGCGUGAGUGACGGGAAUCGAAAAAGAAGCACCGGCUAACUAAGUU
rnacentral:rRNA from 1 species